UACGGAGGGGGCUAGCGUUGUUCGGAAUUACUGGGCGUAAAGCGCGCGUAGGCGGCUUGUAAGUUAGAGGUGAAAGCCCGGAGCUCAACUCCGGAAUUGCCUUUAAGACUGCAUCGCUAGAAUCAUGGAGAGGUGAGUGGAAUUCCGAGUGUAGAGGUGAAAUUCGUAGAUAUCGUAAGGAAGACCAGUGGCGAAGGCGGGUCGCUGGACAGUUCCUGACGCUGAGGCACGAAGGCCAGGGAGCAAAGCGGG
rnacentral:rRNA from 1 species